GAUCCGACGGGAGGCGAGGCGAGGUGCACAGCGGGCAAGGUGGAUCGAUCAGAUGGAGGACGAUUUGCGGACCCUCCGCAGACUGCGUGGUUGGCGAAGUGCAGCCUUGGACCAAGCUGAAUGGAGAAGACUUUUAUGUGCAGCACAGGCCAUUCCGGCCUUAGUCUGAAAAAUAAUAAUAAAAAUAUCUUCAUUCCUAGGGAGUGGAUCAGUUAACCACAGUCGGCCAUAGAAUUCAUCCGGGCUGAUUCAAGUUUCAAUUUCAAAAUAAUUGACCGUUUUUUCCGGCUAUGAAAAGGUCAUCCUUAUACAGAAUGAGCUUCGAUCGUCACGAAGUCCGUGCAGCUAUUUGGUUUCGCCGGCGAAAUAGAUAUUAUGGCACGUAGCUCUGAGAAGAUGAAGAAUUAAAGAGGGAAGCUAAGCGGAUCGUACUAGCCAUCAACCCGUCGAAGACGUAGUACAUAAUAGGAAGAGGCUCAAGUGGGGGCAACAUUAGCCACCCACCACGAAUUUGUAUCGCUGGUGGCGAAAUCGACGUGGUCGUGUACUUGGGCCCACUCGUGUCCUCCGAUAACGAUUCAAGCAGAGAAUACUGGAAACGCAUCGUGGUAAGAAAUCGUACGUACUUUGAACUCACAAAACGUUCCGCUCCAAACUAAACUGACUAUCUACAAAACGUUCAUUGGACCGGUAGUUCUCUAUGGACACGAGACCUGAACAAUGUUCGAAGAGGCCCAACGUGCAAUUGGAGUUUUUGAAAGGAAAUUCAGGUGAAACUUACGUGUCCAGUGAAUUUUAUUUGAAAACUAAGGUGAAAGAUACAUGAAUUUCCGGUGGAAAAAAUAUUCAUACUUUUUCUUCAGUUGGAAACAACGUGCAGAUUUUUUUAAGAGUGUGCCUAUUUUGAAAUUCGCAACCACACGAUCCUUGCACUGUAAACCUGACAAUACCCAUUAAAGAGUUGAAAAGACCCAUUAUUUGAUGAUAUAUUGAGCUGUCAUAAUAAUGAGUAUUUUGAAAUUAUUGAUAAUGUGUUCUUUUUCCCCAUUUCGAAGUUGAAAGUUUUUACUCAUUAGUGGGUGAAAAUCGACUUGAACGAGAACGAGGAGAAGCAGGAACGAAUUCGAAUAAAUUAAAUCUAACGGUUCAUCAAUUUACUUUCGUGUUGGUCGAUAACAACACAAAACCAUAUUUAUCGCCGGAUAACUUCAGCUACUGUCACUGUUAAGUUUUGCGAAGAACCGUCAAGGCAAUCAGGAGACGUACCUCCCGUGAAACCCGGAAUCGGACGAUGAAAAAGGAAUCGUUUUGUUUGCUUCUCGGUUAAAUAUGCGAUUGGAACUGGUAAGCAAAUUCCGCCGGACAAAAAACGGUAACGCCGGUCAGGACGGAAAUAUGCCUUUGCCAUCCCAUGGACUCCCAGAGCCGCUGACGUUAAAGAAACCGUCAUGUUUGCUUCCCGUGAGAAUGAACGAUUGGGAUAGAGGAGUGAGCUCGUCAUGUCCUCGGAGGAUUGGUACUAACCAAAAUAUUGUGAAGAAGUUCCUCGGCAUUGAAUCCCUCCUGAUGUCGUUAGUCACCCAAUCCAGCGGACCCAACCAGUUGUCGAUCGGCGAUAUCUCCGGGAAGCAACUUAGUGGGGUGAUUUUUGUUGCCUAGAAUUACACAAUGCCAUUCAAAAGCUGAACACCGGACGGAAAAUGAUAUCAGAUAGAUUCCGGACAUUUCCGCUGGUCCGGUUUUGAUAGAUUAUAGGAGCUAAAGUGAAUUGUAUUUUGUUUAUGUGGUGUGAAUAAAUACUAUCAUAUUUCUGCGUAUUAUUAAAAUCAAAAAAUUGCUUUAUUAACAGCCUAGUUUUAAGAUUAUUUUAGUUUUUAAGAAUGCUUUUCAAAAUAAUAAAGAGUGAUUUUUACACAUUUUCUAGAAAAACAUUUUUCAAAUAAUGUGUAAAAAUCACUCGCUGAACUGACGUACGGGCGGUUUACCCAUUAAUGAGUAAACGCUGUUUACUCUUUUAAUG